CGAACGCUGGCGGCGUGGAUUAGGCAUGCAAGUCGAACGGUAUGGACCUUUCGGGGUUCAGAGAGUGGCGAACGGGUGAGUAACACGUAGGUAAUCUACCCUCAAGGACGGGGACAACCAGGGAAAACUUGGGCUAAUACCGGAUGUGUGUAGUGGCUUAUUUUCUGAUUAUCAUUAUUUACGUAAGUGAGUAAUAAUAAGAAGGGAAAGUGGUUAUUACAUAAAAGGUGGCGUAAGCUGCCGCGUUGGGGAUGAGCCUGCGUCCUAUUAGUUAGUUGGUGAGGUAACGGCUUACCAAGGCGAUGAUAGGUAGGCGGCCUUAACGGGUGGUCGCCCACACUGGGAUUGAGAUACGGCCCAGACUCCUACGGGAGGCAGCAGUCGAGAAUAGUCUACAAUGGACGGAAGUCUGAUAGUGCGACGCCGCGUGAACGAAGAAUCCCUUCGGGGUGUAAAGUUCUUUUAUACGUGAGCAGUGUCCUUUAUAUUAAUAGUAUAAGGGGAGAGAUAUUAGCGUAUGAAUAAGCAACGGCUAACUCCGUG
rnacentral:rRNA from 1 species